GAUGAACGCUGGCGGCGUGCCUAAUACAUGCAAGUCGAGCGAACGGACGAGAAGCUUGCUUCUCUGAUGUUAGCGGCGGACGGGUGAGUAACACGUGUAUAACCUACCUAUAAGACUGGGAUCACUUCGGGAAACCGGAGCUAAUACCGGAUAAUAUUUUGAACCGCAUGGUUCAAAAGUGAAAUACGGUCUUGCUGUCACUUAUAGAUGGAUCCGCGCUGCAUUAGCUAGUUGGUAAGGUAACGGCUUACCAAGGCAACGAUGCAUAGCCGACCUGAGAGGGUGAUCGGCCACACUGGAACUGAGACACGGUCCAGACUACUACGGGAGGCAGCAGUAGGGAAUAUUCCGCAAUGGGCGAAAGCAUGACGGAGCAACGCCGCGUGAGUGAUGAAGGUCUUCGGAUCGUAAAACUCUGUUAUUAGGGAAGAACAUAUGUGUAAGUAACUGUGCACAUCUUGACGGUACCUAAUCAGAAAGCCACGGCUAACUACGUG
rnacentral:rRNA from 1 species